GCGCGGUUGGCGUAGUGGUCAACGCGUUCGCUCAGUACAUGGCACCUCAAUCACCUACGGUGUUCGUGGUUGGGGCCGCCAUCCCUGACAGUGAAAGUUCCCGGGUUCGAAUCCCGGACCGCGCA
rnacentral:tRNA from 1 species